rnacentral:rRNA from 1 species
AUUGAACGCUGGCGGCAUGCCUUACACAUGCAAGUCGAACGGCAGCACGGACUUCGGUCUGGUGGCGAGUGGCGAACGGGUGAGUAAUGUAUCGGAACGUACCAUUGAGUGGGGGAUAACGUAGCGAAAGUUACGCUAAUACCGCAUAUACCCCGAGGGGGAAAGCAGGGGAUCUUAGGACCUUGUGCUCUUUGAGCGGCCGAUAUCAGAUUAGCUAGUUGGUGAGGUAAAGGCUCACCAAGGCGACGAUCUGUAGCGGGUCUGAGAGGAUGAUCCGCCACACUGGGACUGAGACACGGUCCAGACUCCUACGGGAGGCAGCAGUGGGGAAUUUUGGACAAUGGGGGCAACCCUGAUCCAGCCAUGCCGCGUGAGUGAAGAAGGCCUUCGGGUUGUAAAGCUCUUUCAGCCGGGAAGAAAUCUUGGUGGCUAAUAUCCAUCAUGGAUGACGGUACCGGAAUAAGAAGCACCGGCUAACUACGUGCCAGCCGCCGCGGUAA